UCCCUGGUGGUCUAGUGGUUAGCACUCAGCACUUUCACUACUGCAGCCCAGGUUCAAUCCCUGGUCUGGGAA
rnacentral:tRNA from 1 species